rnacentral:rRNA from 1 species
UAGGGAAUCUUCGGCAAUGGGGGGAACCCUGACCGAGCAACGCCGCGUGAGUGAAGAAGGCUUUCGGAUCGUAAAGCUCUGUUGUUAAGGAAGAACGAGUGUGAGAAUGGAAAGUUCAUGCUGUGACGGUACUUAACCAGAAAGGGACGGCUAACUACGUGCCAGCAGCCGCGGUAAUACGUAGGUCCCGAGCGUUGUCCGGAUUUAUUGGGCGUAAAGCGAGCGCAGGCGGUUAGAAAAGUCUGAAGUGAAAGGCAGUGGCUCAACCGCUGUAGGCUUUGGGGACUGUUUAACUUGAGUGCAGGAGGGGAGAGUGGAAAUCCAUGUGUAGCGGUGAAAUGCGUAGAUAUAUGGAGGAACACCGGUGGCGAAAGCGGCUCUCUGGUCUGUAACUGACGCAGAGGCUCGAAAACGUGGGGAGCGAACAGG